CAGCUGCGAGAUUUGGUGUGAAUUGCAGGACACAUUGAGCACUAAUUUUUCGAACGCACAUUGCGGCCUCGGGUCCUACCCGGGGCCUCGCCUGUCUGAGGGUCGGAUAAGACUUACCAAGAAAGCUCGUCUUUCAGUUGGCCGCACCGGACCUUUUAAUACAGGGUUCGCCGGCUCAAAUAUUUGAAAUGGAUUCCUCUACCUGUCGGAGAAGCGUUGCCAAUGAAAAAAGCACGCUCGUCGGCUGGAGAAGACGACAUUAUCAUUCUCCACGAGGACGAGUCUUGGCUUCGCAAAGAAGGCUGGUUGGAACCAUAGAAGAUCGAGUUUUUUUAAACUCGAUCGGAAAAAUAAAACUUUUAUUGUCGACCUCAGAUCAGACGAGAUGACCCGCUGAAUUUAA
rnacentral:rRNA from 1 species